rnacentral:rRNA from 1 species
GGAGUUUGGUCCGUGUCUCAGUACCAAUGUGGGGGACCUUCCUCUCAGAACCCCUACUGAUCGUCGGCUAGGUGGGCCGUUACCCCGCCUACAACCUAAUCAGACGCAUCCCCAUCCUAUAGCGGUAAACCUUUGCUUCUCGUCAGAUGCCAUCAAAGAAGAACAUAGAGCAUUAAUUCGACUUUCGCCGGGCUAUUCUCUACUAUAGGGAAGGUUGGAUACGCGUUACUCACCCGUGCGCCGGUCGCCGACAAGGAAAGCAAGCUUUCCUCUCGCUGCCCCUCGACUUGCAUGUGUUAAGCCUGUAGCUAGCGUUCAUC